UGGCCAUGGGCUUAAGGACUCGAUCUUUUAAUUAUCAUAGGACUACUCCUCUCAUCUACCGAGGUUGAUAGAUCCCAUCUUGAUGCGACCUAGUUCCUACAAUGAAUAUGCUACAGCCAACAUACACCUCAGGGUUUCGAAUGGCUAGGAGAUCGAGUUAUGAUGUAGUCAAACUAUAACACACUCAAGGUAAACUAUCGAUGCACCUCAGGUCAAAGAACUAGACACAC
rnacentral:lncRNA from 1 species